rnacentral:sRNA from 1 species
GCUGGGUGCAGUGGCGAGUGCCUAUAAUCCCAGAAGCUUGGGAGGCUGAGAUAGGAGGAUCGUGAGUUCAAGGCCAGCCUCAGCAACAGCAAGGUGCUAAUCAACUCUGUGAGACCCUGUCUCUA